CGACUUUCCAUAGAGAUGUGGUUAUCAGCUUUUCUUUUUAAACAAUGCAUUAGUUUCAAAUACAAUACUCAUAACUGCAUGCUAAUUAAUCAGUUUUAAUCAAUUCUACUUUACUAUUUUUAAAAUUUUAAAUGUGCAAAUAUAAAAUCAACAUCAUCUCAAUCUUGGGGGAGAGUAAAUGAGUAGAUUUACUACUAAAUUAUUUGCUUAUUUUUUUGUGAUCUCGCUUUAAAGCUGAUGAACAUUUUACAGUAAUUUGACAUAUAAAGCUUCAUAGUUGUGGAGCAGGUUAAAUAUGUCAAGCGCAUUGUGUAUUUUAUUAUAUUUUUUGUAGUAAUUUUGUUGAUUUGGUUUAGUUUGCAUUUCAUUGUUGAAGGAUGUGAUAGACUUUAGAGCAGAUUUAGAGCAGAUUUACUGGUGCAAGGCAAAGAAGAGACAACCCAACUCUAAACAACUGAAAGGGAACUUUGAAGAAAGCAGGCUUCUAUUCACAUUUUAAUAGUACAGUAAUUAAGCCUGCAAUGUAAAGGCUAGCUCUGAAAAUAUUUAGUUUACAAC
rnacentral:lncRNA from 1 species